ensembl:lncRNA
AGAGAGCUAACUGAAUCCGUAGUCAUUUCGUUGCAGCGCCAACGAUUUGGGUGGUGCGAAAUGCUUCAACGUCGAUGCACGAGGACACUCCAUCAGCCCGAGGCGUAAAGCGACUUCAGAUAAAAACCAAGUGGGAUAUUGACUGAGUCUCUACAAACAUCACGGCUACUGCAACACAUCUAAUUGUGUGUGCAAUGAGACGCAACAGCAAUGGCUCACGACACAAAGAUGGAGGUUCAGAAGGUCACAGGUUGGUUUGAGCGGCUGAGCAGCUCAUUAUUAAUUACAGGGGCGUUGCUAACGGGCUCAGACAGUACGCACGUAUAUCGAUUUCGUUCUUGCUAUUUGAUGAGUAAUGUCUUGGCGGCGAUGAUUUGAAUGAGAUACUUUGCAGUGUUUACUGUCUGUCUUGGUUUCAAGCCAAAAGCUAACUAAGUAAGCGAGUACGAGAGACGCACACAUCGAUCCAAGCGGUUUAUAGCUGAUCAGCCACAACCAGGUGGUCGGGCUCACAUUUCUGACACAGACUUUAACGCCUCACACACACACACAAACACACACCCACAGAAAAUGUCCUUCAGCGGGAGUGAAGAAGACAACUUCUCACAAACGCAAACUCCAAAAUCAGCCGUGGAAGAAAAGACCCUUCAAAGCAUUUGCAUUGUAAAUACUGUCCUGCUGUCUUCUGUAAUCAAAGGUGAAUUAAAACGCUGCCGCGAUGUGUUUACGUUUGGGAUUUAGUGUGAAGCUUGAAUAAAUCUUUUUUUAAAGGACGGUAUGAAAAAGACGACGGGUCUUAAUUCCCUCUUUAACAGUAGCACUAAGCAGCGUAUAAUGUUUAAAUCUACUAAUGCCAAAGACAUUUUAUUAAUCCCACUUAUUAAAUUAUCAAAAUACAAUCACGUGUCUCGUCAUCAUUGGAACUGAGUGACUUUAUCGCCAGGACGGUAAAAAACAUAACAGUUCAUAUUUGUGGACAGUGGUGCACAUCGGUCACGCUUCAGUCUGUUGUUCUGGGCAGUGAUGAACUGAUUAAUCAUUGAUUACAUCACAUCACACGUCAUUUAUCUGACGCUUUUAUCCAAAGCGACUUACAGUAAGUGCAUUUAACCAUAAGGACACAAACCCAGAAGAGCAAGAAACAAGAAAGUGCAAUUUCAUCAAAUAAGCCAAUUUACAAUUUGCUAUAAGAACCAUUAUAAGUCCAAUGUAAGUGCUACAAUGUGUUCAGACAGCAAAGAGUGGAGAUCUAGUGGAGUGUUUUGCUCUCAGUGAGGAGGAACCAGCAGUUUUAUCACAUGCAGAGCAGAGAGUGCGGGUCGGGAUGUCGGGUUGUACCAGGUCCUGGAUGUCGGGUUGUACCAUGUCCUGGAUGUCGGGUUGGACCAGGUCCUGGAUGUCGGGUUGGACCAUGUCCUGGAUGUCGGGUUGGACCGUGUCCUGGAUGUCGGGUUGGACCAGGUCCUGGAUGUCGGGUUGGACCAGGUCCAUUCACAGCUGCAUAGAUCUGGCAAUGACUUUCUUAAUGUCCUAAUUAAUAAAUCGUGUGUAUAAACUCACCGGCAGUCUGGUCACACGGGUCACGCAUUGUCGUCUGAGAAACAUUUUGGCAUUUGGGUUUUAUAAUUCUUUAUUUAUUUUUUACAUUUAUUACUCAAAAUAUAUGCUAAUUAACACUAAAGCCUUUUUAUUGAUCCUGUUGAAUCAGUUCUAGUUUGUUGCUGUGUUUGUCUAAACUUCAUAGAAGCAACGGAGGAAAACAUCUUUUAAAACUAAAGUGGGCAUUUCUUUUCAUGGCCGGGGAAACACUGCAUGACGAACCGUCCCUAACAAACAAUCAGUCAGCAAGCAAAUGCUAAAUAAAUGAAAUAUGCCGCCGGAACUGUUUACUUAACUCAAAGGCGGAACAUCUGCAGGAGACAAUGACGUUAAAGCUUCUUUUGAAGUACAAAAAAAUAAUCAAAUUGAGUGUUAUUCUCGAUGAAGAGCACGACGUUGGCGUUGUGGUGCAGGAGUGCGAGCACUUGGAGGGGAGACGGGGAUUUGCACACCUCUUCUUCUUGCGUCUCGUGCACGCGACACUGAGAUGUGAGCGUCCUCCUCUCAGCUGCACACCGGAGGGCGAGAAUUCAUCACGCGUCACCUCGUUAUAUUCAGACGGCGGGUCGAGUCUUCACUUCCCCAGUGCAGGAGGUCAAUGGAUUCAGGCCAAAGAGACAAAGGGCCUGAUGGCAGAGCUCUGGGUGAGGGGGGGUGAGGGGGGAGACGGGGGGUGAGGGGGGUGGAAAUGAGAGAAUUGAUCUCUGCCACAGUGUUCAUGAUCUUUUGCCUGUUUGGACAAACGUGGAAAGGUCAAAUUGGUCAAAUUCACCCGGUGUACAUUUAAGAGCAAGACCUGGGAGAGCAAACAAAUGUUUGUGUACGCACACACACACACACACGCACACAAAUACACAACGCGACCUCCCACACACACAUGCACGCCGCCCAGAAGGCGUAUCGCACACUGAAACGCGUCCUGAGCGUUUACAUGAAGCUGUGUUUGCACCGGAGAGCCUUUGGAACCUCCACAUUUCGUUCACGUGCGAGCGCGCGGAUGACAGAGGUCAGGCGAAGGACGCCGCGAAGCCUUCAAUGUUUGACGGCGGUUUAAUCUGAGCCCCGUCCAGGAGCCUGAAGGAGGAGCUGCUUGGGGAGCUUGUUGUCUGGAUCUGGGGAGAAGGAAGAGGAUUUUCUUUUGGAACUGCGGCACGCUAACACACAUCUGGAUGAAUCGGUACUAUCACACAGAAUUUGACCACGUCUUCAUGCUCAGGGACGUAAAACUCGUACAUUUCUACGCUUUCUUUGAUGGCAUUGCACUAUAUUCAAUGCUCGUAAUAAGAAUCAUACUUCGAAUGGUCAUUAUGGGUCCCGACUGGCUGCCUCUGUACGCGGAUGAAUUAACCAGCAUCCGAUCAGCUCACAUCGAGCACCUGACCAAUCGUACAGAUCCAAAGUUCCUGCUCCAUAUAUUAUUAUCUACACUGACUGAAGGAGAUACUCAAGUCACAUCCACAGCUGGUCGCUUCUCCUCCGUCAGAUGUGCAAAUCAAUCGUACAACUAGUAAGCUGUACUAACUAACUGCUGCUUCUUGGGUGGGAAACAACAGCACGUUUAAUCCACCCAAAUAUUAAAUCAAUAUUUAACAGUACGGACAUCGCUGCUCUGAUUGGACUUCAUUAUUUUGGCUUUAUGAUCUUAAUGAAAUAUGAUUAAUGCCUUCUACCAGCGCAUGAUGGGGAAAAAAAGGCACAUUUUCUAUUUGCCUUCACGGGAGCGUUCAGGUUCCUUCACAGAUACAAACACAAUCGUUUCUGUGACGCUUGUCUUUGGGAUUUUACCUUCAGAUUCAGUCACCGCCCCCGUUGUGUUGCAAUGAAUCCUCUCAGAAACAGAACCCCCUCUCUGGAUAAUCAGUUCUCCGUGCACGCAGUUAGUUUAGGAAAUGCUUCAGCGGGCGAAGGAGCUUCACCCGUCGGUGUCAGCGGGGAGUCGACGGGUGAUUUAUUUCACUGAGAACAUGCUCCGUCCCGAGGCGCCAUUUUUGUUGGUGUUUGUUAGAUUUAGACUCUGCCUCCCAAAGUCUCUCCCCCCGAGGGGCCGAGAGGCGGACUUCCCCGUGGUGAGGUGUGGCGUGUGAUGGAUGCAGCCUCUCUCCUCCUGUGUGACGUGUUCACUGAUGCGGCGGUGAUGGAGUGAGAUACCCCCCCCCCCACGAAGCCGCUCCAGCGAGCAGCUGGCCCGCGUUCCAGCUCGCACAGUGCCGUCGCAGUUGUUUCUCCAUCGCCCGCCCCCACCAUUAUGACUUGAGGGGGUGGUGUGGGUGUCGGGGCUUUAGGGAGACGGCGGGAUUCACUGAGCCGUUGUGUUGUUCUGAUGCUGAAGGCCUGGACGCACGUGCUGUACAGUUCAACGCCAUACAGCGAGAGCGCAGAUGCUUAUUUACUGAAUAUCGGCGGAUAACGACACAAGGACGGACUGUGGGGGGGGGGGGGUCGUACCAAUCAUUCAGCGCGGUUACAUGGAUUCAAAUAACUGGCUUAGUCGGACUGAAAUCGAAUGAUCCGUUUCAUGUAAACACCUUUGUCCGACUACGUGCGGAUGAGGAACUGGAUGCCUUCCGACGGCGUCUUCUCUCCGUUAUCAAAUCAGCCGAUAGCGCCAUUCGCAUUCGCUGUGCUCCUAUUAGCAUCAUGCACACACAGUAGAGGGUUCACCUUGCUCUAUGCUCGCCAUCUUUCUCCUAAUGUUGUUGUUGUUGUUGGUAGUGGUGAAGAGGUCAAGCGGAAAUGGCUGUAUCACAACUAGUUGUAAUGAAAACAGCGCCCCCUAUUGUAUCGGAUAUGACGAUAUGCUUUCGGCCAAUGAUUCGAUUUAUUCACUGCCCCGAAAGAGAGUCCGACUAAGCAAAGGCUCCAAUUAUAGCAUCAUGUAAACACAGUGGCUCCGUCGACUCCUGCAAUCCAAACGAUAAAAGCUACAAAGUGAGUUCAACAACAAUAAGAGACGAUAUGAAACUUGGCUGCUGUGGGAUGUGAAGGGCUCUGAAAGGCCUAUUUUGGUAGGAAAACAAGCGUUGCUCUUUACUGCCCGUCUACACCCACGCGUGAACUGUGUUUCUCUACUUUAAGACCGCCAGAGGGACGCGCGUCUCAAGAGAGUCACGCAUUUCGUGGAAACCUCACUGUACUUCUGGGCUUCACCCGCUGCAUCGACUCAUCUCUUCUGCUCUCAUCUCAUCUCUGCGUCUCUUUUUCAGUCGUCGAAUUUCAAAUGCAUUAGACGAUGGAUUCAGAUUUAUAAAAUGUCACAGGAGAGAAACCCCCAGGAACGCCACUGAUGCCGUUAACGGCGUACGGGCGUAUGACAGCGGCCGUAAGCAGGCGUGCGUUGAGCGGCGAGACGCGGAGGUGUCUGCUGCACACCGCGGAGGAGACGCCCCCGCAGGGACGGCUCAUUUCACGCCUCGCCGCCGCCUGCCCACGCCGCGCUCAGAAACAGCCUCUCUGCACCUGCUACCGGAACACAACCCGCAGCAUCACGCCGAAUGCAGCUCUCAAGCAAGCAGAAAGUUGGACGGAGACCUCGUGUUUUCACGGUCAACGUGCGACUUCUGUCUUCCAAGCAGCGUGUGAUCACGAAAGCGGGACUGUGAAAUGGAGAUCGCAAUUUGAAGAUCACAUUUGGGAAAGGCGCUUUCAAAAUGAACGCUUUUCUGUCUCAUUUCAGUGCUUGAAACAAACGGUGAAUUAUAUGAGAUGCUGGUUGAACCUUGAGAAGAGUUCAAUUCGGCAGUGACUGUUUGAAGGCGGGUCGGGGCUCUUCUUCAGGGCGCCGUGGUUCCUCGCCGAUCAGACAAAAGCACACCUCUGAUCUGUUCCUUUCUAAAGGUGUUGACUUGGAUUUGAAAGUUUGAAAUGGAGACUAAUGUUUGUGUGAGCUGCUUCCUGCUCCUGAUUUUUGCAGAUUGCGCUGUAGUUGGCACAGUAAAAUCCACUUGGAUCGGCCCAGUGGAGAUUCGGAAAGAUCCAAAUGCGUCCUUCUUCGUUGGUGUCCCAUUGAUGUAAGAUCUAAAACUCUGGAAAAGCCGCUCAAAGAAGGAAAAUGAUCCUCCGUAAGUCUCGAAUGCCUUGAAGGAUCUAGUAUUCACUCAGAUGUUUCCUCUGACAGCGUGGCGGUGGAGCAGUGGGCGGGGCUUAGCCAAGGCUCAAUUACUUUACUUUAGUUUGUCAUCAAGUCCUUUUCCUUUGUCGGCUGUCAUGCGUCAGCGUCACUGGCAUCCGCCUGCAGCGCCGGCCUUUCAAACGAAGGACAUCAAGUUAAGCGAAUAUAUACGAUGAAGGACGUUGUUUAACUGACAAUUUAAUUUGAUUAGGUGUGAGAGCGCAGUGCAGGAAUGAAGAUGGAGCUUCAGACAGAGACGUCUGGCAGUAAAGUGAGAUUGAAGAGAUUUAGUUCUUCCAUAAAAUAAAUAAUACGUGGAGGAUCCUUUGAAAGAUGCCAAUUUAUAAUGAAACCAAAUGUUCGUCAUCGUCUUGUGCUGCAUGUUUAGACCUGUAUUUGUGCGUCAGCUUCAUCGGCCUGGAUGGUGCACUGAGGCGUCCUCCUCCUCACCCACGUGUCCCCAUCGGCGGCCUCGCGGACCGUUACAAAGGUGGUUUAGUCUGUGGCGUCGCGGUUAAAUCUUCCCUCGCAUGAUCAACGGUCACGUUGCUGCUUGUCAAGUGUUUCACUUCAUGGUUAAAAUGCUUAAAGAAAAGAAAUGAUUGUCAGCUGUAAAACUGUCCCGUGUGUGUCCACCUCGAUGUGGAGAUCUGUCCAAUGUUCUUCUAGCACUUUGAAACGACUUUUAUCAUGGAGAGCAAGUCUGUCCAUCCCGCACUAAUGUCUCAUGACAUUACGUCAUGUUACUUUAAUCAAGAACUCAAUCAAUAACUACAAUUUAGUCUGUGGUCAUUGCAGUUUCCUUCAGCCCAUUAUAUAAUUGUAUUUAAAAAUAAUAAUAAUUUGGUUUAAAUGGCUGAAUUUGUGCUGUUGUACUUUUACUGCUGUUAAAAAAGUUUCUGUAUGGAAACUAAAAUGUUAAAUGUUGUUAAUCUGAAUUCUAACGACGUUUGUAAAUCAACUUCAAUAUGUCCGUUUCCUGUUUACUGCUUUAUGUUCCGUCCCCAUGAUACUUUUAUUGUGGCUUUAACCCGUCACAGAUUAUAGAAACUUCACUUUCUUUCAACUCGAUAAUCAUGUCUGGACUUUUAUUUCAGCCCCCAUUUAGUUUAUUGUAAAUAAUUCACAAUAUAAAUCUACACUUGUUGCAUUUUCAUUUCCCCAGUCAGCUGAACCUCGCAGACAUCAGCUCCCCGUUAUUAGGCCUCUGGUACGUUUACUCCGACCCUCAUGACCGUGUGUCUCUAUGAAGUUCUAAUGUCCCAUUUAAUUACUUGAAUUUAAAUCGAAUUGCGGGAAUCAGAAGUCUUGCAGGGACAAAGGUUUCUCCUCCCCUGAAGCCGGACCGUUGCGUCUCAAACACCUCGCACCUCGUCUUGUUCUGCAGCCAAAAGAAGAAAAAUACAAACACAAGAAUAAAGGAAAUGAUUCUUCUUCUUUUUCCUGCACGAAGUUACAUUUGCACAUUUAAUUACAGCAGACCUGAUCAAACACAAGGAACCACCACCACAUUAGGCCGUAUCUGACAACGUGCUGCCGCUCUCUGUUGAACCUUCAAUCACGAAUGAAUGGCGAGAGAGUCGGCGAGACACAACGAGACCGGCCUCGUAAUUAGACUCACAAAACCAUUUCACUGGUGCUGCUGAAAUCAUGACCCCAAUGCGGCUUAAAUAACAGCUGUAUAUAUAUUCACGUUCAAUAACGGAUCGGACAGAUGCUGUCGUGGUCCUGAGAUGAAACCUCGAGUGCUGAAGCGGUUUCGGGGCUCGUUAUCAAGUGAAAGCUCAAGGACGGUUCUGCUGAUCUCAGCAUCCAUGGUGGCCGAUUUGCCUCAUUCUGUUUGUGUGCGUGACUACAAGAGUCGAUCUUAGUGGUUAUCUGCACUGAGACGUUUCAAUUGGCUCUGAAGGGGAUUUAUUACAGAUUAUCAGCUGUAUAUUAUUAUUUUACGUACCUCUAUCAAGUGGCUUUGCAGCAGAGCUUUUCAUCCCCUUUGCACGUUGACUCGCGACCUUUUGGCUCGUGACAGACUAAUGAGAAUCAUCACAGGGCCUCUGAGGGGCGCCCACUUCUCCACCGAACCCCCGUGAAGCUAAAUGGGAUGCAUUUAAAUAGUCUGCAGGACCACGGUGGCCAAAUCACCACAGUCCGUAUUCACCGUGGAAUGAAUGAGUGGACUGAAGCAAAAGAUCUGAAAAAUGAAUAUGAAUAACCCGUUUAAAUGUGCAGAAUCGUUGCCCCUGCAGCUCUGACUUCCAAACAUCUACCCCAUCGCGGCCGGCGUUAGUUCAGGGUCUACCGUUUAUUUUGUGCCACUACAGUUUUGUGGAAGUAACACAGUAAAAGAGGGAGUUGUGUCUCUGGUGAAGAGGCACAAGUUCCUGCAGUCUGUCGCGCACAAUGUGAAAUAUAAUUACUGCAUUACUGAACGGUCUGUUGUUCUUUAUACUCGCCUGCAACUGCGACCCUUGUGUGCGUGUGCUGUCGUGUGUGUGUGUGUGUGUGUGUGUGUGUGUGUGUGUGUGUGUGUGUUAUAAUGAUUUAACAAGGACAACCACAACAGGUGCCACCUUGCAACCUACGAGCUGAUGUGUUUUGAAGGAUUCACCAUCCGAGCUACAGAAGCACUCAGCUGGU